rnacentral:rRNA from 1 species
ACCCAAUCCUAAUUCAGGGAGGUAGUGACAAUAAAUAUCAAUGCGGGGCCCUUAGUGGUCUUGCAAUCGGAAUGAGAACAAUUUAAAUCCCUUAACGAGGAUCAAUUGGAGGGCAAGUCUGGUGCCAGCAGCCGCGGUAAUUCCAGCUCCAAUAGCGUAUAUUAAUGUUGUUGCAGUUAAAAAGCUCGUAGUUGGAUUUCUGCGUCGCGCAGCUCGGUCCGCCGCACUGCGGUGCGACUGUGGUUGGAGCGUCGCUUCUUUGUGGGGACUACUGGUGUCAUUAAUUUGAUGUCUUUAGGAACUGCAUCGUUUACUGUGAAAAAAUUAGAGUGUUCAAAGCAGGCUUAUGCCGUGAAUACAUUAGCAUGGAAUAAUAAGAUAGGACUUUGGUUCUAUUUUGUUGGUUGGAGGCCAAGGUAAUGAUUAAUAGGGAUAGUUGGGGGUAUUCAUAUUUAAUUGUCAGAGGUGAAAUUCUUGGAUUUAUGAAAGAUGAACUUAUGCGAAAGCAUUUACCAAGGAUGUUUUCAUUAAUCAAGAACGAAAGUUAGGGGAUCGAAGAGGAUUAGAUACCCUCGUAGUCUUAACCAUAAACUAUGCCGACUCGGGAUUGGAAGGUGUACAUUAAAAGACCCUUUCAGCACCGUAUGAGAAAUCAAAGUCUUUGGGUUCCGGGGGGAGUAUGGUCGCAAGGCUGAAACUUAAAGGAAUUGACGGAAGGGCACCACCAGGAGUGGAGCCUGCGGCUUAAUUUGACUCAACACGGGGAAACUCACCAGGUCCGGACAUAGUA